GCAGAUUCAAAUAAUCAAAGCUUGAUGAUUACUUUAUUUGAAUCAGGUGGCAAAACCCCAAAACCUGCACCCAGUUGGGUCCCAAGGAUCGAGUUUGGGAAUAGCUGCAUAAAAGGCUCUGCAUGGUCAAUCGGACUUCUGCAGUGACCGUACAGCCUCUACACAAGUUAGGGCAUUCAUACUUAUUGUGCUUCGCAGAACUGUCAUGAAGGAGCUUGUCAAGUUACUGCCAAACAUCACCCAGGUGGGUGCUACACUUCAGUAGUGGACUAUCCAGCCUACCUACAGAGGAGGAGGAGGAGACAACAGACGAGGUGCCUGAUGAAGAUCUCUGGGCUUGUCCAAGUAACUGACUGACACGGCUCCCUCUCUGUGGCCAUCGAAGCUCCCUCCUCGUAAACUACUGCCCAGCCUUUCUGAACUGCCUGUCUGAACAACACAUUAUCUGAAUCUGUGGAAGACCAUCGCCCAAGACCUGACAGAUCUCUACAUUUGUUUUGUUUGUUUUUACAGGGUCUUUGAGAUUCUCUUUAAUGAAAAGCGCAAUAUAAAAUAAAUGUAUUACUAUUAGCGCACAGGGAGCAGCGCAACCAGCGGCGGCGACAUCCAAAAACAUGACAUUGUUUGGAUGAAUAUAAAAUGUUAAUAUCUUC